GCAGACACAUUCCAGCCAAUCAGCAGCAGACCCUCCCUCCCAGAUCCUCCCACCUCCCAGCUCACUAAGAAUGCAGCUUCACAAUGGAUGCUGUCCAGGAGUUGGGAGGGUCUGGGAGGGAGGGUCUGCUGCUGAUUGGCUGGAAUGUGUCUG